CUCAUUUGAAAUUUCAUAAAUAAAAAAGAAAAUUUCUUCAAACAUUUGUUUGAGAGGAUUAAUAUUCAACAGCAUAGUGAAUUGCUCUAAGAGAAAAAAAAAAUUUUAAGUUCAUUAGAACACAUUCAUUCUGUGUCAGAAACCUAUGCUGUGUCAACUAUUUAAUCACAAUCCAAAUUUAGAGCUGAAUCCAGCUUGAAUGUUGUGUCCAUACUUGCCCCAACCGUUCAGGGUUCAACCUCUGCGGUCGUAUAAAGCUAUGCCCUGCGGAGCAUCUGGUUAUUGUUCUAAUAAUUAUGACUAGAAAUGUCCCGGUGUUGUUUGUUUGGUUUUUUUUUUU
rnacentral:lncRNA from 1 species